UUCACCUUAGCACCAUGGAAAUCAAAUUUUUCAUUUUCUUUUCCUUCCUUUCUUUUCUUACUCCUUCCUUCUCCUCCCUUAUUGUGCACCAAAACCACAACUUCUAACCCCAUUUUUCAGCACAGCUAAACCUUAGGAGAGAGAGAGAGAGAAAAAUCUCCCUUUCUUUCUUUCAUUUUCUAUUUCUACUCCACUUUCAUCAACACUUGAGUUUUCAGCUUCAAAUCUUCAUUUUUAAAGCCAAAAGGUUUUUGUUGAUCUUUGUGCCUCUAAGCUCAUCAAGGUUCUGAUGGUAUUUCAGGACUUACUUGGAUUAGGAUCUUGUGGGUGCUAGUUUUGUAAGGUGACAUUAUUAAGGU